CAUGUAGGCGGUCUGCUAAGUUCGGAGUGACAGUCACCAGCUUAACUGGUGAAGUGUUUCGAAAACUGGCUGACUUGAGAACGAGAGAGGGACAUGGAAUUCCGGGUGGAGCAGUGAAAUGCGUAGAGAUCCGGAGGAACACCAAAGGCGAAGGCAGUGUCCUGGCUCGUUUCUGACGCUGAGGUGCGAAAGCCAGGGGAGCGAACGGGAUUAGAUACCCCGGUAGUCCUGGCCGUAAACGAUGACCACCAGGCGUGGGAGGGAUCGACCCUUCCGUGCCGUAGUCAACACAUUAAGUGGUCCGCCUGGGGAGUACGGUCGCAAGACUAAA
rnacentral:rRNA from 1 species